AUUGAACGAUGGUGGCAGGCCUAAAACAAGCAAGUCGAGCGGAGCGGCGGACGGGUGAGUAAUGCCUAGGAAUCUGCCUGGUAGUGGGGGAUAACGUCCGGAAACGGGCGCUAAUACCGCAUACUAUCAGAUGAGCCUAGGUGGGAUUGGCUGGUUGGUGGGGUAAAGGCCUACCAAGGCGACGAUCCGUAACUGGGCUGGGAGGAUGAUCAGUCACACUGGAACUUAGACCCGGUCCAGCAUCCUACGUGAGGCAGCAGUGGGGAAUAUUGGACAAUGGGCGAAAGCCUGAUCCAGCCAUGCCGCGUGUGUGAAGACGUUCUUCGGAUUGUAAAGCACUUUAAGUUGGGAGUCGUUACCAACUGACUAAGCACCGGCUAACUGCGUGCCAGCAGCCGCGGUAAUAC
rnacentral:rRNA from 1 species